rnacentral:rRNA from 1 species
GAUGCGCCAUGCCGCGUGUGUGAAGAAGGCCUUCGGGUUGUAAAGCACUUUCAGUCGUGAGGAAGGUGGUGUAGUUAAUAGCUGCAUUAUUUGACGUUAGCGACAGAAGAAGCACCGGCUAACUCCGUGCCAGCAGCCGCGGUAAUACGGAGGGUGCGAGCGUUAAUCGGAAUUACUGGGCGUAAAGCGCAUGCAGGUGGUUUGUUAAGUCAGAUGUGAAAGCCCGGGGCUCAACCUCGGAAUAGCAUUUGAAACUGGCAGACUAGAGUACUGUAGAGGGGGGUAGAAUUUCAGGUGUAGCGGUGAAAUGCGUAGAGAUCUGAAGGAAUACCGGUGGCGAAGGCGGCCCCCUGGACAGAUACUGACACUCAGAUGCGAAAGCGUGGGGAGCAAACAGGAUUAGAUACCCUGGUAGUCCACGCCGUAAACGAUGUCUACUUGGAGGUUGUGGCCUUGAGCCGUGGCUUUCGGAGCUAACGCGUUAAGUAGACCGCCUGGGGAGUACGGUCGCAAGAUUAAAACUCAAAUGAAUUGACGGGGGCCCGCACAAGCGGUGGAGCAUGUGGUUUAAUUCGAUGCAACGCGAAGAACCUUACCUACUCUUGACAUCCAGAGAACUUUCCAGAGAUGGAUUGGUGCCUUCGGGAACUCUGAGACAGGUGCUGCAUGGCUGUCGUCAGCUCGUGUUGUGAAAUGUUGGGUUAAGUCCCGCAACGAGCGCAACCCUUAUCCUUGUUUGCCAGCGAGUAAUGUCGGGAACUCCAGGGAGACUGCCGGUGAUAAACCGGAGGAAGGUGGGGACGACGUCAAGUCAUCAUGGCCCUUACGAGUAGGGCUACACACGUGCUACAAUGGCGCAUACAGAGGGCAGCCAACUUGCGAAAGUGAGCGAAUCCCAAAAAGUGCGUCGUAGUCCGGAUUGGAGUCUGCAACUCGACUCCAUGAAGUCGGAAUCGCUAGUAAUCGUGGAUCAGAAUGCCACGGUGAAUACGUUCCCGGGCCUUGUACACACCGCCCGUCACACCAUGGGGAGUGGGCUGCAAAAGAAGUAGGUAGUUUAACCUUCCGGGGGGACGCUUACCACUUUGUGGUCAUGAUGGGUGAU